rnacentral:rRNA from 1 species
AUUGAACGCUGGCGGCACGCCUUACACAUGCAAGUCGAACGGCAGCACGGGUGCUUGCACCUGGUGGCGAGUGGCGAACGGGUGAGUAAUACAUCGGAACGUACCUUAUCGUGGGGGAUAACGCAGCGAAAGCUGUGCUAAUACCGCAUACGCCCUGAGGGGGAAAGCGGGGGAUCGCAAGACCUCGCGCGAUUAGAGCGGCCGAUGCCUGAUUAGCUUGUUGGUGGGGUAAAAGCCCACCAAGGCGACGAUCAGUAGCUGGUCUGAGAGGACGAUGAGCCACAAUGGGACUGGGACACGGCCCAGACUCCUACGGGAGGCAGCAGUGGGGAAUUUUGGACAAUGGGGGCAACCCUGAUCCAGCAAUGCCGCGUGAGUGAAGAAGGCCUUCGGGUUGUAAAGCUCUUUUGUCAGGGAAGAAACACCGGCUCUAACACAGUCCGGGAAUGACGGUACCUGAAGAAUAAGCACCGGCUAACUACGUGCCAGCCGCCGCCGUAA